rnacentral:rRNA from 1 species
AACGCGAAGAACCUUACCUACCCUUGACAUGUACGGAAUUCUGCUGAGAGGUGGAAGUGCUCGAAAGAGAACCGUAACACAGGUGCUGCAUGGCUGUCGUCAGCUCGUGUCGUGAGAUGUUGGGUUAAGUCCCGCAACGAGCGCAACCCUUGUCAUUAGUUGCUACGAAAGGGCACUCUAAUGAGACUGCCGGUGACAAACCGGAGGAAGGUGGGGAUGACGUCAAGUCCUCAUGGCCCUUAUGGGUAGGGCUUCACACGUCAUACAAUGGUACAUACAGAGGGCCGCCAACCCGCGAGGGGGAGCUAAUCCCAGAAAGUGUAUCGUAGUCCGGAUUGUAGUCUGCAACUCGACUACAUGAAGUUGGAAUCGCUAGUAAUCGCGGAUCAGCAUGUCGCGGUGAAUACGUUCCCGGGCCUUGUA